rnacentral:rRNA from 1 species
UGAAUACGAGAUGCUACGGCGUCGAAGCAGUCUAUGUCAUACUUCCAAGAAAAGCUUGCACUGUCAUAAACAAAUAAUGCCUGUACCAUAACCGACACAGGUGGGUAGGUAGAGUAUACUAAGGGGCGCGAGAUAACUCUCUCUAAGGAACUCGGCAAAAUGACUCCGUAACUUCGGGAGAAGGAGUGCCUUAUUUAUAAGGUUGCAAUAACAAGACCCAAGCAACUGUUUAUCAAAAACACAGGUCUCCGCUAAGUCGUAAGACGAUGUAUGGGGGCUGACGCCUGCCCAGUGCCAGAAGGUUAAAGAAGUUGGUUAGCAUUAGCGAAGCUGAUGACUGAAGCCCUGGUGAACGGCGGCCGUAACGAUAACGGUCCUAAGGUAGCGAAAUUCCUUGUCGGGUAAGUUCCGACCCGCACGAAAGGCGUAAUGAUUUGGGUACUGUCUCAGAGAGGGACUCGGUGAAAUAGACUUGUCUGUGAAGAUGCGGACUACCUGCACCUGGACAGAAAGACCCUAUGAAGCUUUACUGUAACCUGAAAUUGAAAUUGGACUUUAUUUGCGCAGUAUAGGUGGGAGGCUUUGAAGAUAUUCUUGCGGGAAUGUUGGAGCCAUCAGUGAGAUACCACUCUUGUAAUGUUAGAUUUCUAACUUUGUAUCAUUAUCUGGUCAAAGAACAGUUUCAGGCGGGCAGUUUGACUGGGGCGGUCGCCUCCUAAACGGUAACGGAGGCGCACAAAGGUUUCCUCUGAACGGGUAGAAAUCGUAUCUAGAGUGUAAAGGCAUAAGGAAGCUUGACUGUGAGACCUACAAGUCGAGCAGGGACGAAAGUCGGUCUUAGUGAUCUGACGGUGCUGAGUGGAAAGGCCGUCACUCAACGGAUAAAAGUUACUCUAGGAUAACAGGCUGAUCUCCCCCAAGAGUUCACAUCGACGGGGAGGUUUGGCACCUCGAUGUCGGCUCAUCGCAUCCUGGGGCGGUAGUACGUCCCAAGGGUUGGGCUGUUCGCCCAUGAAAGCGGUACGCGAGCUGGGUUCAGAACGUCGUGAGACAGUUCGGUCCAUAUCCGGUGUAGGCGUUAGAAUAUUGAGAGGAGCCUUCUCUAGUACGAGAGGACCGAGAAGGACACACCUCUGGUGUACCAGUUAUCGUGCCAACGGUAAACGCUGGGUAGCUAUGUGUGGAGCGGGUAACCGCUGAAAGCAUCUAAGUGGGAAGCCCACCUCAAGAUAAG